rnacentral:rRNA from 1 species
AAUGAACGUUGGCGGCGUGGAUUAGGCAUGCAAGUCGUACGCUUUAUGUAGCAAUACAUGAAGAGUGGCGCAAGGGAGAGUAAUGCAUGGUUAGCUACCCUCGGGACUGGGAUAGCGGCGGGAAACUGCCGGUAAUACCAGAUGAUGUCUUCGGACCAAACGUGUGAAUCGGCCCGAGGAGGGGACCAUGUCCUAUCAGCUAGUUGGCGGUGUAAUGGACCACCAAGGCAAAGACGGGUAUGGGGCGUGAGAGCGUGCCCCCACUCACUGGGACUGAGACACUGCCCAGACACCUACGGGUGGCUGCAGUCGAGAAUCUUCGGCAAUGGGCGCAAGCCUGACCGAGCGACGCCGCGUGCGGGAUGAAGGCCUUCGGGUUGUAAACCGCUGUCGUAGGGGAGGAAGACUCCGUGCAGAACGGAGUUUGACCGAUCCUAGGAGGAAGGGCCGGCUAAUCUCGUGCCAGCCGCCGCGGUAAUAC